UUGCUGAAGGACAAACCUUCCGAAAGGUUGGGACGCGAAGCUUCCGAUCUAAGUCCGUUUUAAGCGGAUAAGAUAACGGGAGUUACUACGC
ncrna:unclassified sequences c-di-GMP-I-GGC riboswitch